UACGUAGGGGGCUAGCGUUGUCCGGAAUCAUUGGGCGUAAAGCGCGUGUAGGCGGCCCGGUAAGUCCGCUGUGAAAGUCGGGGGCUCAACCCUCGGAUGCCGGUGGAUACUGUCGGGCUAGAGUGCGGAAGAGGCGAGUGGAAUUCCUGGUGUAGCGGUGAAAUGCGUAGAUAUCGGAAGGAACAUCAGUGGCGAAAGCGACUUCCUGGACCAGUACCGACGUUCAGGCACGAAAGCGUGGGGAGCAAACAGG
rnacentral:rRNA from 1 species